GCUGGAACAGCUGGAUCUGGGAGGCAACGACCUAGAAGUGUUGGUAUGGUGGGAGCCAUUGGGUGGGGCACAGGGGUGUAAGACAGUUACUCCUGCUGGGCAAAGCAGAGUAUCUCUGUGGCCACACCGGGUUCUCCUGUCCUUAUCCCUUCUUUUAGCCGGACACUCUGGGAGCUCUGCCCAACCUGCGGGAGCUGUGGCUGGACCGGAACCAACUGUCAGCACUGCCCCCGGUGAGUGAGGGCAGGACUGGCCUCCUACCUCCAGCUGCUGUCCCCUGACCCUGUGCCUGCCCUUAGGAGCUCGGGAACCUAAGGCGUUUGGUGUGUCUGGAUGUGUCUGAGAACCGGCUAGAGGAGCUGCCGGUAGAGCUGGGGGGUCUGGCACUUCUCACAGACCUGCUGCUGUCCCAGAACCUGCUGCAGCGGCUUCCUGAUGGCAUUGGUCAGUGCACCCAGGGGGGCCUAGGGGUUGCAUGCCCUGGUCAGGCGGCCCCACAAGCUGUCAGCAAAGGUACUGGUGGGCAUUAGAUGAGGGUUCUUAUGUCAUCCAAGCUGGAAGCAUCUCAAGGAAGGGAACUGAGGCCAAGACUCAAGUUGGGUCCUGAGACAUCUAGGUAUCAGCCUACAGGGGCAGGGUAGUUCACGUGGCAGAGUGGGUUCAGGUCUUAUGAACAUGGAUAGCGGGC
rnacentral:lncRNA from 1 species